UAUGUACAUGCUUACAGGGUUAAUCCAUCGAAUCCCAUCAGAACUAUGUAGUUAAGCGUGGUUGUGUUAGAGUAGUACUGGGAUGGGUGACCUUUCGGGAAGUCCUAGUGUUUUACAUGC
rnacentral:rRNA from 1 species